rnacentral:lncRNA from 1 species
GAACGCAAACAAACAGAUAUCAAAUUGCCGUUUUGCAAAAACCGCAAGUUGUGUACCUCGGAGCAAGAAGGCACGGGUCCCUCUUAUGUUGAGACACUUAAAAUGAUGGAAUAGGUCUCCUUGUAGUAUUAGUCACUGCCGGCUUAAAGUUCGGAUCGAGAAGUGACAGGAAUGCAUUGUAUUUUACAACUAAUCAGGCCGCCACUGAACCCUCCUAAGUCGACUCUCAAGUUUGACACAAGCCAUAGAGGUUUCAUGGGCUGUAUUAUAUCAUCCAGGUUUAAUAGAAGGGAAAAUCAAUUCAAUUUCGGGAGGGGUGUCGAAGUUUUUGUGUGGUAGAUAUUGUGGAUAAAAAAUCCUGGAUGUUUUCAGCUGUACCUCUGUCCUGCUUUUUUUUUUUAAUUUUUCACUAUAUUUAGUCCUGCCUUUUUUAUAAGUUUAUCCUGUUUUUGUGGGCCCAGCUUCUCAUCCUGCAUUUUUUUUUAAUCAAAACUAAAAUUAAAUGGUAGCUCUCUUAUAUCGAAAAAAGUCGCAAUAUCUUUGUUUUAAAAAGAAAAUAUUCAGAUGAUCAAAUAUAUAAGAUAAAAGUCCAAAUAUAUAAAUAUAUAAGAUAAGUCCAAAUAUAUUUAGUAUGAGAAUGGUCAUAAUAUAGUCACAAAUAUAAAGGGAAAAUGUAAGCAUAUGUAUGCAAUGC